UUUAUUCACUUACAUCACUUUUUUCUUUUUCCUCCUGAGGUUGCCUCUUAUAUGUGUAGUGGCUAUUCCUCUAUUUACUUCUAUCCGCCUAAUUAUUUGAGUCUAUGCAAUAUCUUGGCAAUAGUGCUAAGAAUCUUUAAGCAUUCCCAACUCUCUACCUCAGCUAUAUGUUAAAUAAAUUGCCACGUAAGAAAAAAAAAGCUGAGGUGAGGAAACAGUUAACGAGGAAAGGGGAAAAAGAUAAGAAAACAGUUAACGAGGCUACAGCGUAAGCAGCGGCGAAGGCAGCGCUCCCCUACCCUUCCUCCCAACCUCCCAUAUAUGGCUAGAGAAGGGGAGCGACAGCGGCGGCGGCCACUGCAGGCGGUGGCAGAGGCGGCGCAGUCCCCUCCCCUCCCUCUCUUCCAGUUCCAGAUUUGGGUGGAGAAGGGGAGUGACGGCGGCAGCGGAGGCGGUGUGGUCCCCUCCCUCCCCUCCCUCCCUCCCUCCCAGAUCCGAUCGGACGAGGGGAGCUACAACAGCGGCGGCCACGGCACAUGGCUGAGGAGGGCACUGUCCCCUCCCCUCCCUCCUAGAUCCAACUGGAGGGGAGAGGGCAGCGGUGGUGGCCAUAGCAAGCGACGGCGGCUGUGUGGCCCACCUCUCCCCUCCCUCUCCCUCUCCCUACCAGAUCUGACUGGAGUGGGGAGGGUGGCGGCAAGUGGGGUUGGUGGCAGGGACGAUGGACCUUCAGCCAAGUUAAACAACAAAAGCUAUGGUGAGAUUACUCACUACUAUUGAUGAGAUACUAGAAGAAAUUUGUGGGUUGUAAUUCUAAUUGGAUUUCUAUCUUACUCGUGUGCCUAUUAUUUUGAUUCA